AACGAACGCUGGCGGCAUGCCUAACACAUGCAAGUCGAACGAGACCUUCGGGUCUAGUGGCGCACGGGUGCGUAACGCGUGGGAACCUGCCCUUAGGUUCGGAAUAACUUCCCGAAAGGGGUGCUAAUACCGGAUAAUGUCUUCGGACCAAAGAUUUAUCGCCUUUGGAUGGGCCCGCGUUGGAUUAGCUAGUUGGUAGGGUAAAAGCAUACCAAGGCGACGAUCCAUAGCUGGUCUGAGAGGAUGAUCAGCCACACUGGGACUGAGACACGGCCCAGACUCCUACGGGAGGCAGCAGUGGGGAAUAGUGGACAAUGGGCGAAAGCCUGAUCCAGCAAUGCCGCGUAAGUGAUGAAGGCCGUAGGGUUGUAAAGCUCUUUUACCCGGGAUGAUAAUGACAGUACCGGGAGAAUAAGCCCCGGCUAACUCCGUG
rnacentral:rRNA from 1 species